GUAGGUGAACCUGCGGAAGGAUCAUUAUUGAAUAAACCUGAUGUAGUUGUAGCUGGCUCCUAGGAGCAUGUGCACGCUCGUCACUUUUAUCUUUCCACCUGUGCACCCAUUGUAGGCCUGGAUAACCCUCGCUUGGUUUCAAGCGGACGCGAGAAUUGCUGCUGCUCUUUCUGCAAGGAAAGGCCGGCUUUUCUCGAAUUUCCAGGUCUAUGUUUUCUUACAUACCCCAAUUGAAUGUUACCGAAUGUUA
rnacentral:misc_RNA from 1 species